GACGAACGCUGGCGGCGUGCCUAAUACAUGCAAGUAGAACGCUGAAGAGAGGAGCUUGCUCUUCUUGGAUGAGUUGCGAACGGGUGAGUAACGCGUAGGUAACCUGCCUUGUAGCGGGGGAUAACUAUUGGAAACGAUAGCUAAUACCGCAUAACAAUGGAUGACACAUGUCAUUUAUUUGAAAGGGGCAAUUGCUCCACUACAAGAUGGACCUGCGUUGUAUUAGCUAGUAGGUGAGGUAAUGGCUCACCUAGGCGACGAUACAUAGCCGACCUGAGAGGGUGAUCGGCCACACUGGGAAUGAGACACGGCCCAGACUCCUACGGGAGGCAGCAGUAGGGAAUCUUCGGCAAUGGGGGCAACCCUGACCGAGCAACGCCGCGUGAGAGAAGAAGGGUUUCGGAUCGUAAAGCUCUGUUGUAAGUCAAGAACGGGUGUAAGAGUGGAAAGUUCACACUGUGACGGUAGCUUACCAGAAAGAGACGGCUAACUACGUG
rnacentral:rRNA from 1 species